rnacentral:lncRNA from 1 species
UGUGGGUGAACUUGCUGUUUUCCCUUCCUGUUGUACCUAAUGGUCUCUUUGUCCUCUUGUCCCUCUCUGGGUUUCCACCAGAGGGCAGAACCAACCCACCUAAUUCCCAGCUUGCAGCUCUCUUCUUCAGUGUUCCAGAUGAAACUUUGGAUUUCUUUCAAAUGGUUGGGAUUUCAUCACUCCGAGAAUUGUUGCUGAGGGUGCCCACAGCCAAGCUUCGAGUUAGAGCGCCGCUCUGCUAUUCAUCCUUUCUGUGCCUUGGAGAGGUCUCUGGUUUCUCCCUCUGGGCAGCAAGUUUUCAUCCUUGUAGAAUAGGCCUUUUGGGUGACUGCAUCUGUCAAGACUACAUUCUGCUCUAUGCAUGAAUCAUCAAGACAUGUUUCUUAAAUCCAAGCUGGAGGCGAGAAGCCAGGCAGAAAUCCAUGGAACUGUCAUUCUGCAGGACAGAUGUCUCGGCUUGGGUUAUAAAACUCCCCUGCUUAUGGAAAGUCAAAGAAACUUGAAGUGAUGUUUGCAUAUAUGGUCCAGUCCCAUGGAGAUACAUGGCGAAAGCUUCCCUACCUAAAGUAUGUUGUAUAUGUAUAUACAUUGCACAUGUAUUGUAUACAAAUACCCACUUGUUAAAUGUAUAUUAUACCUGCAUUCCUUUACAUGCAUCAUUUUAAUGGUAUUUUACAUGCCACUUAAAUGCACAGUUUUAAAAAUAAUAUUUGUGUUU